rnacentral:rRNA from 1 species
UACGAAGGGGGCUAGCGUUGUUCGGAAUUAUUGGGCGUAAAGGGCUCGUAGGCGGUUUCGUAAGUCGGAUGUGAAAACUCCAGCUCAACUUGGAGACGCCAUUCGAUACUGCGAUGACUUGAGUCCGGUAGGGGAGUGUGGAAUUCCUGGUGUAGCGGUGAAAUGCGCAGAUAUCAGGAGGAACACCGGCGGCGAAGGCGGCACUCUGGGCCGGUACUGACGCUGAGGAGCGAAAGCGUGGGUAGCAAACAGG